AAUAGAUACCCGGGUAGUCCACGCCGUAAACGUUGGGCGCUAGAUGUGGGGACCAUUCCACGGUUUCCGCGUCGUAGCUAACGCAUUAAGCGCCCCGCCUGGGGAGUACGGCCGCAAGGCUAAAACUCAAAGGAAUUGACGGGGGCCCGCACAAGCGGCGGAGCAUGCGGAUUAAUUCGAUGCGACGCGAAGAACCUUACCAAGGCUUGACAUAUGCGAGAACGCUCUAGAAAUAGAGAACUCUUUGGACACUCGUAUACAGGUGGUGCAUGGUUGUCGUCAGCUCGUGUCGUGAGAUGUUGGGUUAAGUCCCGCAACGAGCGCAACCCUCGUCGCAUGUUGCCAGCACGUAAUGGUGGGAACUCAUGUGAGACUGCCGGGGUCAACUCGGAGGAAGGUGGGGAUGACGUCAAAUCAUCAUGCCCCUUAUGUCUUGGGCUUCACGCAUGCUACAAUGGCCGGUACAAAGGGCUGCGAAACCGCAAGGUGGAGCGAAUCCCAAAAAGCCGGUCUCAGUUCGGA
rnacentral:rRNA from 1 species